rfam:Schistosoma mattheei strain Denwood, Zambia genome assembly, scaffold: SMTD_scaffold0024921
AUUCAGCUGACGAAUCCUAAAUAGGACGAAACACGCGUUAAACUGAAU